rnacentral:lncRNA from 1 species
GCUAACAUGGUGAAACCCUGUCUCUACUAAAAAUACAAAAAUUAGCUGGGCAUGGUGGCAUGCACCUGUAAUGUCAGCUACCUGAGAAGCUGAGGCAGGAGAAUCACUUGAACCUGGGAGAUGGAGGUUGCAGUGAGCUGAGAUUGUGCCACUGCACUCCAGCCUGGCGACAGAGCAAGUCUCCAUCUCAAAAAAAUAAAAAAAUAAAAAGAAACACACUAUAAAAAUAACAGUUCAGUACGAUGUCUGUAAGUAGCAGAAAGACA